ACUCCUACGCCACCAGUGGUGAAGCCGCCUACUCCUUCUCCGCCAGUAGUCAAGCCUCCAACUCCUGUGCCACCAGUGAAACCACCGAGUGGUACACCAAUGCCCCCAGUGAGGACAAGAGCAGAUUGCAUCCCGCUGUGUGCAGAGAGAUGCAAAUUACAUUCCAGGAAGAACCGAUGUGCGAGAGCCUGUGUAACUUGUUGUGACCGAUGCAAAUGUGUGCCACCAGGAACUUACGGCAACAGGGAGAAAUGUGGCAAGUGCUACACCAACAUGACUACCCGUGGCAACAAGCCCAAGUGCCCCUGAAAAUCUGGAAUAUAUAU
rnacentral:misc_RNA from 1 species